rnacentral:rRNA from 1 species
GACGAACCGUGCGAACGUUAUUCGGAAUCACUGGGCUUAAAGCGCGUGUAGGCGGGACGGCACGUCCGUCGCUGAAAUCCCCCGGCUCAACCGGGGAACUGGCGGGGAUACGACCGUCCUGGAGGGACGUAGGGGGACCUGGAACUUCCGGUGGAGCGGUGAAAUGCGUUGAGAUCGGAAGGAACGCCCGUGGCGAAAGCGAGGUCCUGGACGUUUUUCUGACGCUGAGACGCGAAAGCCCAGGGGAGCGAACGGG